rnacentral:rRNA from 1 species
AGACCCGAAACCCGGUGAUCUAGCCAUGGGCAGGUUGAAGGUUGGGUAACACUAACUGGAGGACCGAACCGACUAAUGUUGAAAAAUUAGCGGAUGACCUGUGGCUGGGGGUGAAAGGCCAAUCAAACCGGGAGAUAGCUGGUUCUCCCCGAAAGCUAUUUAGGUAGCGCCUCGUGAAUUCAUCUCCGGGGGUAGAGCACUGUUUCGGCUAGGGGGCCAUCCCGGCUUACCAACCCGAUGCAAACUGCGAAUACCGGAGAAUGUUAUCACGGGAGACACACGGCGGGUGCUAACGUCCGUCGUGAAGAGGGAAACAACCCAGACCGCCAGCUAAGGUCCCAAAGUCAUGGUUAAGUGGGAAACGAUGUGGGAAGGCCCAGACAGCCAGGAUGUUGGCUUAGAAGCAGCCAUCAUUUAAAGAAAGCGUAAUAGCUCACUGGUCGAGUCGGCCUGCGCGGAAGAUGUAACGGGGCUAAACCAUGCACCGAAGCUGCGGCAGCGACACUCAGGUGUUGUUGGGUAGGGGAGCGUUCUGUAAGCCUGCGAAGGUGGCCUGUGAGGGUUGCUGGAGGUAUCAGAAGUGCGAAUGCUGACAUAAGUAACGAUAAAGCGGGUGAAAAGCCCGCUCGCCGGAAGACCAAGGGUUCCUGUCCAACGUUAAUCGGGGCAGGGUGAGUCGACCCCUAAGGCGAGGCCGAAAGGCGUAGUCGAUGGGAAACGGGUUAAUAUUCCCGUACUUGGUGUUACUGCGAAGGGGGGACGGAGAAGGCUAUGUUGGCCGGGCGACGGUUGUCCCGGUUUAAGCGUGUAGGUGUGUGUUCCAGGUAAAUCCGGUUCACUUUAACACUGAGGCGUGAUGACGAGGCACUACGGUGCUGAAGCAACAAAUGCCCUGCUUCCAGGAAAAGCCUCUAAGCAUCAGGUAACAUCAAAUCGUACCCCAAACCGACACAGGUGGUCAGGUAGAGAAUACCAAGGCGCUUGAGAGAACUCGGGUGAAGGAACUAGGCAAAAUGGUGCCGUAACUUCGGGAGAAGGCACGCUGACAUGUAGGUGAAGUGAUUUACUCA